rnacentral:rRNA from 1 species
AUACGGAGGGUGCAAGCGUUGUUCGGAAUUAUUGGGCGUAAAGGGCGCGUAGGCGGUAAUGAAAGUCAGAUGUGAAAUACUUCGGCUCAACUGAAGAACUGCAUCUGAAACUUCAUAACUAGAGUACGGAAGAGGGAAAUGGAAUUCCCGGUGUAGAGGUGAAAUUCGUAGAUAUCGGGAGGAACACCAGUGGCGAAGGCGAUUUCCUGGUCUGGUACUGACGCUGAGGCGCGAAAGUGUGGGGAGCAAACAGGAUUAGAUACCCUGGUAGUCCACACUGUAAACGGUGAACACUAGGUGUGGGAGGUGUAAUACCUUCUGUGCCGUAGUUAACGCGUUAAGUGUUCCGCCUGGGAAGUACGGCCGCAAGGUUGAA